CAUGGGGCAGGGGUCAAAGGAGGAAUCCGGAUAAAGAUGGGCUCGCGUCCGAUUAGCUAGUUGGUGAGAUAACAGCCCACCAAGGCGACGAUCGGUAGCCGACCUGAGAGGGUGAUCGGCCACAUUGGAACUGAGAGACGGUCCAGACUCCUACGGGAGGCAGCAGUGGGGAAUAUUGGGCAAUGGGCGAAAGCCUGACCCAGCAACGCCGCGUGAGGGAAGAAGGGUUUCGGCUCGUAAACCUCUGUCCUAUGGGACGAAGGAAGUGACGGUACCAUAGGAGGAAGCCCCGGCUAACUACGUGCCAGCAGCCGCGGUAAUACGUAGGGGGCGAGCGUUGUCCGGAAUGAUUGGGCGUAAAGGGCGCGUAGGCGGCCUGCUAAGUCUGAAGUGAAAGUCCUGCUUUCAAGGUGGGAAGUGCUUUGGAUACUGGUGGGCUGGAGUGCAGGAGAGGAAAGCGGAAUUACCGGUGUAGCGGUGAAAUGCGUAGAGAUCGGUAGGAACACCAGUGGCGAAGGCGGCUUUCUGGACUGAAACUGACGCUGAGGCGCGAAAGCGUGGGGAGCAAACAGGAUUAGAUACCCUGGUAGUCCACGCGGUAAACGAUGAAUACUAGGUGUAGGAGGUAUCGACCCCUUCUGUGCCGCAG
rnacentral:rRNA from 1 species